rnacentral:lncRNA from 1 species
CUGUGACUUAGGAUGCUGCUGCUUUCCUGGCCCCUUGGUGCAGUGCUGUUGGGACUAAGGCUUUCAUUCAUCAUAGGCUUUCUGAGCUUUUGGGUCCUAAGGAAAGCACAGGCCGAUUUGUUACUCGAAGCCAUCCUCCUCUACUUUUCAAAAAUCUACUCCGGAAAAAGAAAAUUAUGUACAGAGAAGUCUACACUUGUUGAUACACCUAUCAAGAAAAGCUUGAUACACCUAAUGAAAACCAAAUGAUGUCUUCUCUAAAAGGAAGAAAUAUGACCUAAAAACGUCAAUGAAAUAACAAUGUGGUACCAAUCUGGCAUCUAACAGCAAGAGGACGGUAUCAACAGGCCCUCGAGAUGCUCGUCUUUCUUUGGCAUGACAAGGUCGAGGUCCCUAGGGUGGAGCCUGGGUCCCUGCAAGUCUAGAUCUCCUUCUGCUGCUGUGGUUCAGAGUCCUUUCCAAUGGUCCCACCGUGUCCUGGUUUCAGCCAGCUCUCCCAGGUACUCUUCUGUUCUUUAUCUGUUCUUUAAAAGAUGUUUUGGUGCAUCAACCACUUCACCCCAGAAGCCCACUAUUCCCCAAGUCUUGGAACUCAGCUCCUGGGCCCCAGCCAAAGUGGUGGGGAGAACAAAGAGAAGCCAUCAGCCCUCUGGUGCCUCUGGAGUCCUGCCUUGCCCACGUGCUUCCUCCUCACUUUCAUAAGACCCAGCUGGAACCUGUGUUCCACCUCCCUUGUUGAUGCAUUCCCAGACCUGCAGGUAGAAGACAUGCCCAACUUCCUGACUUUUGUAUAUGAAUAUCCAAUUGUAACCAACCUCUUACUAGUUCUAAGUUACUGUUGACUAUUCUGGGUUUCCGUGGUGGACAAUUAUAUCAUCCAAAAAUGACAAGUUUUCCAUUUUCUUUCCUAUAUACAUGCUUGUUCAGUUCUCCCUGUCUGCGUGGGCUAGCACUUCAAGAAUGAUGUUCAAAAAGAGAGGUGAUAACAGGUUUCCUUUUCCUGAGGUUAUUUUAAUGCCAAUGUAUUUUAUGUGUCUCUUUUAAUUAACAACUGGG